rnacentral:rRNA from 1 species
AUGACUCCAGCAUUGUCUGCAAUACAUGAAGACACCGUCCUUUCGGCGCCAUGGCUUGCGCUGCCUGACGAUGACAGCCGGCAUGACCUUCUUCCUCAGGUCAGGCUUUCCCUUCUUGACAGUGGCCAUAACCAUGUCACCAACACAGGCGGAAGGAAGCCUGUUCAGGCGCCCCUUGAUUCCCUUGACGGAGAUGAUGUACAGGUUCUUGGCACCAGUGUUGUCAGCGCAGUUGACAGUGGCUGCCACCGGCAGACCCAGCGACAUCCGGAACUUGUUUCCAGCGGAUCCUCCGCGCCCUGCACAAGAAAACACGCGUUCGGCCUCCAAAUCGAGGCACACAACGCCGCGCGAUCCAACCAGGACACGCUACGAGACUACCACGAGGAGGCCAAGGAAGAUCAUGCUGGGAAGAAAUGGUUUUUGGCCGUACCUCGCUUCGACAUCUUGGAAGAGGGGGUGGUACCCGGCGGCGGCGGCGGAGGGGGAGAGUGGGAGGCGAUCGUCUCGCUUAUAUAG